rnacentral:rRNA from 2 species
GUCCUUUUGUUGAUAAUUUAAGGUCUAGCCUGCCCACUGAAAUUUUAAAUGGCCGUGGUAUUUUGACCGUGCUAAGGUAGCAUAAUCAUUAGUUUUUUAAUUAAAAACUGGAAUGAAAGGUUGGAUAAGAAAAUAGCUGUCUCUGUUAAAUUUAAUUAGAAUUUUAUUUUUAAGUUAAAAAGCUUAAUUAUUAUUAAAAGACGAGAAGACCCUAUAGAGUUUAAUUAUUAAAUAAAAAUUAUAUUUUAGUAUUUAUUUAUUUAUUUUAUUAAAUAAUUUAAUUGGGGUGAUUGAAAAAUUUAAUUAACUUUUUUUAUUUAGAAACAUUAAUUUAUGAAUGAAUGAUCCAAUAUUUUUGAUUAUAAGAUAAAAUUACCUUAGGGAUAACAGCGUAAUUUUUUUAGAAAGUUCAUAUUAAAAAAAAAGAUUGCGACCUCGAUGUUGGAUUAAAAUAAAUUUUUGGUGUAGAAGCUAAAAUAUUAGGUCUGUUCGACCUUUAAAAUUUUACAUGAUCU